AGAUGGGUAGAUUGUCGUUCAUUCGCUUCGUAUCUGGGGGAGGAUAUGCAAUAUAGGAAAACUUGACUAAGCUUUGUGAAAUUUUGGUUCCAUUGGGUGACUUUUAUUUUCCUUUGAUGGCUAUGAUGCACAUGUAAAAUCACAUAAUUUGAUCCUCCCGAGUCUGGUAGAUUCGCUACCAAUGGUCGACUUAGCACUUAUCUUGUGCUGCAUAAUUGUUUCAGAUUACCAUCCUUGUACAGCAGCAAAUCAACUAUGUGCCUCUUUUGAGAAGCAAAGAUGUUGAUUGUUCACCUUGAAGGUUAUAGUUGCUAAAGAGUCUACACAGGAGAAAUAUUUUAUCUCACAACUUUCACUUGAUCAGUCUAAGAAUGAAAGGAAGUAUGCAUUAAAUAUACAAAAGUCUCCAUAAGACAAAGCUCUGUAUCGAGAGAUGAAGCGUUUGGGAGCCUGGAUGAAGAAUGCUUCCGAGGCGGAAAAAGAGGAGAACUAUUGAGAAUGCUUCCAAAC